UACGUAGGUGGCAAGCGUUGUCCGGAUUUAUUGGGCGUAAAGCGAGCGCAGGCGGUUUCUUAAGUCUGAUGUGAAAGCCCCCGGCUCAACCGGGGAGGGUCAUUGGAAACUGGGAGACUUGAGUGCAGAAGAGGAGAGUGGAAUUCCAUGUGUAGCGGUGAAAUGCGCAGAGAUAUGGAGGAACACCAGUGGCGAAGGCGACUUUCUGGUCUGCAACUGACGCUGAUGUGCGAAAGCGUGGGUAGCAAACAGG
rnacentral:rRNA from 1 species